UAAACAAGUCUCUGAGUAUUUUAUUAUUAUUAACCUUUUAUCUGUACUUGAAGAAAACUUCUGUCGAAACCCCAUAGCAGCACGGACCUGGCUGAGUAAGCACGGACACCAGUGGGCAGGGGAUUCCUGAAACUUCUGACUGCACCUUCCAAUACAAGAGGCAAAAAGGAGACCCUGAGCAUCUCCAAGAGAAAAAUGGCACCGCUUCACUUGAACCUCAAUGUCGACAUUACCCUUUCCAAGGAGCUGAUGCAGAAAGCGUGACAGACGGCUGAGAGGUUUCAAGACGCUGAAUGACACAGAAAUUCUUCUGGAUGUGAAGUGCACUUAUCAGUAAAGGUUUAGUGGCCAUCAUGUGCAGGGUGAUUCUCUAGAGACAAACGGAUCGAUUGAGUUGCAGAGGAGAAGAACGGAGACUCCAGAAGAACAUUAAAGGAAUAGUUCACCUCGUCAUGCUUUACUCACCCGUGUGUCAUUUCAAACCCAUUUCCUGGAGAAAUCGAGGAAUCCUCAUGCAGUUAUUUUUCCUGCAGUGACAGUUAAUGGUGACUACAUCUGCCAAGGCAUUGUCGUAAUCUAA
ensembl:lncRNA